rnacentral:rRNA from 1 species
UACGUAGGGUGCAAGCGUUGUCCGGAAUUAUUGGGCGUAAAGAGCUCGUAGGCGGUUUGUCGCGUCGAAUGUGAAAACCCGGGGCUCAACCCCGGGCCUGCAUUCGAUACGGGCAGACUAGAGUUCGGUAGGGGAGUCUGGAAUUCCUGGUGUAGCGGUGAAAUGCGCAGAUAUCAGGAGGAACACCGAUGGCGAAGGCAGAUCUCUGGGCCGUAACUGACGCUGAGGAGCGAAAGCAUGGGGAGCGAACAGG